UACGAAGGGGGCUAGCGUUGUUCGGAAUCACUGGGCGUAAAGGGCGCGUAGGCGGCUUUAUAAGUCGGGGGUGAAAGCCUGUGGCUCAACCACAGAAUUGCCUUCGAUACUGUAGAGCUCGAGACCGGAAGAGGUAAGUGGAACUGCGAGUGUAGAGGUGAAAUUCGUAGAUAUUCGCAAGAACACCAGUGGCGAAGGCGGCUUACUGGUCCGGUUCUGACGCUGAGGCGCGAAAGCGUGGGGAGCAAACAGG
rnacentral:rRNA from 1 species